rnacentral:misc_RNA from 1 species
GGAAGUAAAAGUCGAAUAAGGUCUCCGUUGGUGAACCAGCGGAGGGAUCAUUACAGGACUCGCAAGACUCCUACAACCCUGUGAACUUAACUAUAAGCACGUUGCUUCGGCGGGUGUCUCGGAGGGGGUUCUCCCUCCCCGAGACGCUAAACCCGCCGGCAGCCUACUAUACUCUGUCUCUUUGCGUUGGCAUCUCGAGUACAAUCAAACAAGUUAAAACUUUCAACAACGGAUCUCUUGGUUCUG